rnacentral:rRNA from 1 species
CCUACGGGUGGCAGCAGUGAGGAAUAUAGGUCAAUGGGCGCGAGCCUGAACCAGCCAAGUCGCGUGAGGGAAGACGGUCCUAUGGAUUGUAAACCUCUUUUGUCGGGGAGCAAAAGACGCCACGCGUGGCGUUCCGAGAGUACCCGAAGAAAAAGCAUCGUCUAACUCCGUUCCAGCAGCCGCGGUAAUACGGAGGAUGCGAGCGUUAUCCGGAUUUAUUGGGUUUAAAGGGAGGGCAGGCGGAAGAUCAAGUCAGCGGUAAAAUUGAGAGGCACAACCUCUUCGAGCCGUUUAAACUGGUUAUCUUGAGUGAGUGAGAAGUAGGCGGAAUGCGUGGUGUAGCGGUGAAAUGCAUAGAUAUCACGCAGAACUCCGAUUGCGAAGGCAGCAUACCGGCGCUCAACUGACGCUCAUGCACGAAAGUGUGGGUAUCGAACAGGAUUAGAUACCCCUGUAGUC